UCAUGAAAAAUAAUUUUCUCUAUAUCCUCUGUUAAGCAUACCCAAGUACCUUUUAAGAGGAUUGGAUAUCCUACUAUGUAUAUGAGGUGGAGGAGAAAUAUAUAUCUACUGGCUCAUCAUGAAUAGGUUUUUUAGGUCCCACAGCUUAUUGCUCUUCAGAGACACUCUCUUCAAGCUUAACUUUUCUCCCACUGUUUCAUCUUAGUUAAAUAA
rnacentral:lncRNA from 1 species